rnacentral:rRNA from 1 species
AUGCGUGUUGGGAGCUUUCUGGAGCGGGCGGAGGCGGCCCUGGACAAGCUCUCUCUUGUGUCGGUUGUGUUGCAGUCCACUCAUACAUCACGUCCUUCUAGUCAGGUUGAUGUCGUUAGUCAGGUUGAUGUUGUUGGUGGCUCAACGGAGAACAGGGAUGAAGAGCUCUAUGGUUGUUUCUCCCCUCGAGUUGGGGACAACUUGUCGUCGAUGUCUGCUGGUGUAAGCGAGGCCGUCGCCGCGGUCGUCGCCCCUGUGUUGCAGAUUAUGUCCGAGCUUCAACAACUAUGUGUGAGACCUGCUUCACCUCAGCCUAUGGAGCAUGUGGAGGUCGUCUCGCUGGUGACCCCUGUUGAGGGGCAUGAUUCACCUAGGUCAUGUGAGCAACUAGAGGCGUCCGACUCCAUCGUGUCGGUGGUAUCUGUGACUGAUAAUGUUGAGGCAGUCAAGAUGUUGGCGUCUGAUCCUUUGGAGCCUAGCCAGAUGGUCGCCAUUGUGGAGCGUGAAGGUUUCGAUGUUACAGUUACUCACUCGCACGAGACCGUUGGGCAGGUUUCUAUGCGUGACAAGGUCAAUGAUAUUCUCUUCCAGAUAGAGAUUCACAGCUUGCUCAAACGUUUGGAGGCGGCUAGCCCUGGAUCUGGCAAGGCGAUUGUUGAGGAGGCUCUCAGGAGCAAGAGAAUGAAGAGUGGCACCACAAGAAAGGCGUCCGCAGCUGCUUGA